rnacentral:rRNA from 1 species
GACGAACGCUGGCGGCGUGCUUAACACAUGCAAGUCGAGCGGUAAGGCCCUUUCGGGGGUACACGAGCGGCGAACGGGUGAGUAACACGUGGGUGACCUGCCUCUAGCUCUGGGAUAAGCCUGGGAAGCUGGGUCUAAUACCGGAUAUGACCUCGCGGUGCAUGUUGCGGGGUGGAAAGCCUUGUGCGGCUAGGGAUGGGCCCGCGGCCUAUCAGCUUGUUGGUGGGGUGANGGCCUACCAAGGCGACGACGGGUAGCCGGCCUGAGAGGCGACCGGCCACACUGGGACUGAGACACGGCCCAGACUCCUACGGGAGGCAGCAGUGGGGAAUCUUGCGCAAUGGGCGAAAGCCUGACGCAGCGACGCCGCGUGAGGGAUGACGGCCU